CGACACGGGGAGGUAGUGACAAUAAAUACUGAUACAGGGCUCUUUUGGGUCUUGUAAUUGGAAUGAGUACAAUUUAAAUCCCUUAACGAGGAACAAUUGGAGGGCAAGUCUGGUGCCAGCAGCCGCGGUAAUUCCAGCUCCAAUAGCGUAUAUUAAAGUUGUUGCAGUUAAAAAGCUCGUAGUUGAACCUUGGGCCUGGCUGGCCGGUCCGCCUCACCGCGUGUACUGGUCCGGCCGGGCCUUUCCUUCUGGGGAACCUCAUGCCCUUCACUGGGCGUGCUGGGGAACCAGGACUUUUACUUUGAAAAAAUUAGAGUGUUCAAAGCAGGCCUUUGCUCGAAUACAUUAGCAUGGAAUAAUAGAAUAGGACGUGUGGUUCUAUUUUGUUGGUUUCUAGGACCGCCGUAAUGAUUAAUAGGGAUAGUCGGGGGCAUCAGUAUUCAAGCGUCAGAGGUGAAAUUCUUGGAUUGCUUGAAGACUAACUACUGCGAAAGCAUUUGCCAAGGAUGUUUUCAUUAAUCAGUGAACGAAAGUUAGGGGAUCGAAGACGAUCAGAUACCGUCGUAGUCUUAACCAUAAACUAUGCCGACUAGGGAUCGGACGGUGUUAGUAUUUUGACCCGUUCGGCACCUUACGAGAAAUCAAAGUUUUUGGGUUCUGGGGGGAGUAUGGUCGCAAGGCUGAAACUUAAAGAAAUUGACGGAAGGGCACCACCAGGCGUGGAGCCUG
rnacentral:rRNA from 1 species